rnacentral:rRNA from 1 species
UACGUAGGGUGCAAGCGUUGUCCGGAAUUAUUGGGCGUAAAGAGCUCGUAGGCGGCUUGUCACGUCGACUGUGAAAAACCCGGGGCUCAACUCCGGGCCUGCAGUCGAUACGGGCUGGCUUGAGUGCGGUAGGGGGAGACUGGAAUUCCUGGUGUAGCGGUGAAAUGCGCAGAUAUCAGGAGGAACACCGGUGGCGAAGGCGGGACUCUGGGCCGAUACUGACGCUGAGGAGCGAAAGCGUGGGGAGCGAACAGG